UCACAUACAACUGUGGGGAAAAUUCAACAACUUAUUGUAAUCAAACGUUUCCUCUCCCAUAAAAAAAAACCCCACGCUGUCAAUUAAUCAAAAGAAGAUCAGAACUAACAAAUUCUUUAAUUUGCUUGCAGAUAUGAUUACAGAUAUGAUAUAUUAUCAGCCUCAACGGAUAUUAUUAUCGCCCAAAAUAGGUCCACACAUUCUGAGUCGCAAAAUACACACUACAAAAUUCAAAUACAAACUUCAUUUAUGCAAUUAUUAACUGACAAACUUCAUUUAUGCAAUUAUUAACUGACGUGUAAAAUACGACAACAGAUAAGCUGUGAGUUUCAAUACAAAUAACAGUUUUCACAUCCUACAAUGAUAUUUACAUAAAGGUAUAGUCGAUAACUGUUUUAGGAAUUAAAAUAUUUGAGAAAUGCUCAAGGAAGCCUUCAUAAAUGAGACACCAUGCUUCUUUUUGCAAUAUCCACGAAUUAUCAAAAGUUAAACUUUUGGAAUGCUUCGAUUAAUUUUCAAAUUUUUGCAAUAUCCACAAACCACAAUCCAACAUACCAUCUAAAUGGUCGAGAUAAGGCAAAAACUGAAAAUCCAACCUACCAAAUUCUUUAAACAGAGAAAUCACGGCCGAACAUAUCUUAAUAACACCAAAUAGUUGAUUUGCCUGAAAAAUCCACCCAACUUGGCAUUCGGAUCGAUUGAUUGAAUAAAACCGGAUCAUCAUGCAGAAUAUCAAUAUUGUAAGACCCAGAUUUAAGUUUCUUUGAGUACAGGAUGUGGUCUAACAGAUCCCUUAAAACAGCAGUAAUAUAAGACCGAUGCAAAAUCAUAUUGAUUCGGAAGAGAAUUAUGGAUGUACCUUUAGGCAGCCCAACAAUACGAGAACCUUAUUCAGAUGGCAUCUCUUACCUUCCACAAAAUAGAGAAGAAGCGUGCAGAGAUGAGGAAGAGAGAAGAAAGGUGUAGAGGCGGCUAUUGCAGGUAGACUAACUCUAUCUUUAUAUAGGUAUUAGAUUUGGUUCACGCUCAAUGCAGUGUUUUUG
rnacentral:lncRNA from 1 species